UUUCUGACUGUGAAUAUUUCAAAAGGAAGAGCACAUGCAGCCACCUCAACCAAAGGUCUGAAAAGUGGCAAAAAGAGAAGACCAGAUCCAGGGAGACGACAGGAAGCUCAAGAUGAAUGAGAAGUGCCACAUUCAGCUGUAGCAACGAGAUCUGAUGAUGAAGAUGAUGGAGGCGGUAACAGUACCAACUUGGACACUGAAAACACAGGCACCUACAAAAGGCCACCGAAGAUGCAGUCAAUUAAAGAAAGAAAUUAUGCUGAUGACGACAUGAGUGAUGUUUCUGGCAGUGAAUAUGGCGGUAAUGUUUUUUUGUCCGACUUGAAUCCUCUUUUGCUGUAUUAUUGGCAUAUUUCUGAGAUGCAUGUGGAAAGAACUUUGAUUCUAUCAAAACAUUAUUUUAUAGAUGGAGGGGUGUGCCAUAAGACAGUUAAGAAGACUGUCAAGAAAAAAAAGACAAUGUUGGGAAGACAUGGAUUGGGUGAGUC